rnacentral:rRNA from 1 species
CAGCAGCCGCGGUAAUACGUAGGUGGCAAGCGUUGUCCGGAAUUAUUGGGCGUAAAGGGCUCGCAGGCGGUUUCUUAAGUCUGAUGUGAAAGCCCCCGGCUCAACAGGGGAGGGUCAUUGGAAACUGGGAAACUUGAGUGCAGAAGAGGAGAGUGGAAUUCCACGUGUAGCGGUGAAAUGCGUAGAGAUGUGGAGGAACACCAGUGGCGAAGGCGACUCUCUGGUCUGUAACUGACGCCGAGGAGCGAAAGCGUGGGGAGCGAACAGGAUUAGAUACCCGCGUAGUCCCUGUCUCUUAUAA